rnacentral:rRNA from 1 species
AAAGUUCCGCAAGGAAUUAGUAGAGUGGCGAACGGGUGAGUAACACGUGGGUGACCUGCCUUCGAGUGGGGGAUAACGUCCCGAAAGGGACGCUAAUACCGCAUAAUAUCCUGCCUUUUAAGAGGUGGAAAUCAAAGCUGGGGAUCGCAAGACCUGGCGCUUGAAGAGGGGCCCGCGUCCGAUUAGCUAGUUGGUGGGGUAACGGCUCACCAAGGCGACGAUCGGUAGCCGGCCUAAGAGGGCGGACGGCCACACUGGGACUGAGACACGGCCCAGACUCCUACGGGAGGCAGCAGUGGGGAAUUGUUCGCAAUGGGCGCAAGCCUGACGACGCAACGCCGCGUGGAGGAUGAAGACCUUCGGGUCGUAAACUCCUUUCGAUCGAGACGAAUGGCCCUUGGGUUAAUAGCCUGAGGGAGUGACGGUACCGAGAGAAGAAGCCCCGGCUAACUCCGUGCCAGCAGCCGCGGUAAUACGGGGGGGGCAAGCGUUGUUCGGAAUUACUGGGCGUAAAGGGCUCGUAGGCGGCCAACUAAGUCAGACGUGAAAUCCCUCGGCUUAACCGGGGAACUGCGUCUGAUACUGGAUGGCUUGAAUCCGGGAGAGGGAUGCGGAAUUCCAGGUGUAGCGGUGAAAUGCGUAGAUAUCUGGAGGAACACCGGUGGCGAAGGCGGCAUCCUGGACCGGCAUUGACGCUGAGGAGCGAAAGCCAGGGGAGCAAACGGGAUUAGAUACCCCGGUAGUCCUGGCCCUAAACGAUGAAUGCUUGGUGUGGCGGGUAUCGAUCCCUGCCGUGCCGAAGCUAACGCAUUAAGCAUUCCGCCUGGGGAGUACGGUCGCAAGGCUG